AUUGAACGCUGGCGGCAUGCCUUACACAUGCAAGUCGAACGGUAACAGGUCUUCGGAUGCUGACGAGUGGCGAACGGGUGAGUAAUACAUCGGAACAUGCCUAGUAGUGGGGGAUAACUACUCGAAAGAGUGGCUAAUACCGCAUGAGAUCUACGGAUGAAAGCAGGGGAUCGCAAGACCUUGUGCUACUAGAGCGGCCGAUGGCAGAUUAGGUAGUUGGUGGGAUAAAAGCUUACCAAGCCGACGAUCUGUAGCUGGUCUGAGAGGACGAUCAGCCACACUGGGACUGAGACACGGCCCAGACUCCUACGGGAGGCAGCAGUGGGGAAUUUUGGACAAUGGGCGAUAGCCUGAUCCAGCAAUGCCGCGUGCAGGAUGAAGGCCUUCGGGUUGUAAACUGCUUUUGUACGGAACGAAAAGCCCUGGGUUAAUACCCUGGGGUCAUGACGGUACCGUAAGAAUAAGCACCGGCUAACUACGUGCCAGCCGCCGCCGUAA
rnacentral:rRNA from 1 species